CCUACGGGUGGCAGCAGUGAGGAAUAUUGGUCAAUGGCCGGGAGGCUGAACCAGCCAAGUCGCGUGAGGGAAGACGGCCCUACGGGUGGUAAACCUCUUUUGUCAGGGAGCAAGGUGCAGGUCGGGACCUGCUGUGAGAGUACCUGAAGAAAAAGCAUCGGCUAACUCCGUGCCAUCAGCCUCGGUAAUACGGAGGAUGCGAGAGUUAUCCGGAUUUGUUGGGUGUAAAGGGUGUGCAGGCGGAGGCACAAGUGAGCGGUAAAAUGUCGGGGCGCAAACCCGAUCCGCCGUUGAAACUGUGUCCCUUGAGUGCGCGAAGGGUAGGCGGAAUGCGUGGUGUAGCGGUGAAAUGCAUAGAUAUCACGCAGAACUCCGAUCGCGAAGGCAGCCUUCUGGCGCGUAACUGACGCUCAUGCACGAAAGCGUGGGUAUCGAACAGGAUUAGAUACCCCAGUAGUC
rnacentral:rRNA from 1 species